GACGAACGCUGGCGGCGUGCCUAAUACAUGCAAGUUGAGCGCUGAAGGUUGGUACUUUUACCGACUGGAUGAGCAGCGAACGGGUGAGUAACGCGUGAGGAAUCUGCCUUUGAUCGGGGGACAACAUUUGGAAACGACUGCUAAUACCGCAUAAAAACUUUAAACACAAGUUUUAAGUUUGAAAGAUGCAAUUGCAUCACUCAAAGAUGAUCCCGCGUUGUAUUAGCUAGUUGGUGAGGUAAAGGCUCACCAAGGCGAUGAUACAUAGCCGACCUGAGAGGGUGAGCGGCCAACUUGGGACGGAGACACGGCCCAAACUGCUUCGGGAGGCAGCAGUAGGGAAUCUUCGGACAUGGACGAAAGUCUGACCGAGCAACGCCGCGUGAGUGAAGAAGGUUUUCGGAUCGUAAAACUCUGUUGGUAGAGAAGAACGUUGGUGAGAGUGGAAAGCUCAUCAAGUGACGGUAACUAGCCAGAAAGGGACGGCUAACUACGUG
rnacentral:rRNA from 1 species